rnacentral:rRNA from 1 species
CAGCAGCCACGGUAAUACGUAGGGGGCAAGCGUUAUCCGGAUUUACUGGGUGUAAAGGGAGCGUAGACGGAAUGGCAAGUCUGAAGUGAAAUGCCCGGGCUCAACCCGGGAACUGCUUUGGAAACUGUCGAUCUGGAGUGUUGGAGAGGUAAGUGGAAUUCCCGGUGUAGCGGUGAGAUGCGUAGAGAUCAGGAAGAACACCGGAGGCGAAGGCGGCUUACUGGACAAAGACUGACGUUGAGGCUCGAAAGCGUGGGAAGCAAACAGGAUUAGAUACCCCAGUAGUCCCUGUCUCUUAUAC